GUGCCGUGACGUCGGAACUUCCUUACCAGACGGUCUGACGCCGUCAAGGUCUGCCCUGAGUAGCCAACUGUAACCUGGAGAGGGACGGAGAAGAGGACUAUUCUUCCCCUCAUUGCAGAAGAAAUUACACUCACACCUUAGAGAUGCAUGCUCUUCUAAUUCUCUUCACUCUGCAUGCCACCACUGCUAUGGAGCCAGCACACCUUAAACCGGGAGCCCUCGCUGCUCAUCUUGGCCGAGUUGCCCUGGUCGAGGAUGUACUCUGGGUGCGGUAUCCUUACGCAAGUUUGGUGAAAAUUCCUGGCAAACUAAAAAGUAUAGUGGAGUGUCUGAAUGAAGCCCUACAGCGGCUACAGGAGGUUCUUCCGAAGGAUUCACCACUUUCGAAUGAGUUGUUACCCCUUCUGUACAGUAGGAUUAAAUAUAUAAACGACACGGUUACCCUGGCCUUGGAAAACUAUGAUGGAAUUCAUAAUAGUAAUCGCAAGAAACGAGGUCUUAUCGACGGUAUCGGUCAAUUAUCUCGCAUGCUCUUUGGUACCGCAAUGAAUGAAGAUAUAGAAAAGCUAAGAGAACAGUAUAAUCAACUAACCUAUGUAGCUUCAGCCAACAACAAAGCUAUUCACUUACAUAACAGAAACAUUGCCAAGCUGGAACAGUAUAUAAAUGAUCUAGGCAGGCAUGCUGAACUCCUAAGAAUUCAGCUUAACGAAGCUUUAAAUAAUAUAAAGAAUUUACAAGCUUUUGCAGUCAUUCGUGAAGCAUUAUCAGCGCUUGAAAGUACAGCAGCUUCUCUUUUGCAUACGAAUGAACACCUAAUAAGAAAUGUAGUAGACGCAGCUCGUGGAAGGGUCACUUCAUCUUUGUUUCCCGUGAAGGAUUUUCUUCAUGCUUUGGCAGUGGGAAAAACAGAUUAUAACUUGAAACCCCUGUUUGAUGUAUAUGGAAUUCAUCAUUAUUAUCCACUACUGGAAUCAGUGCUGACGUCUGAAUCCAUUGUUAUUCAUGUUCCAUUCAGAUCAGAACAUAUCUUUGAGGUUCAUCGAGUGGAGCCAUUCCCAUUUCAGGUGAAUGGAACUGUCAUGACACUUGAUCAACCCAGUUCAGUAGUAUUGAUCAAUAAGGACCUUACGAUGUACGCUACAGGUAAAUUGUCAGAUUUAGACAGAUGCCAAACUGAGUAUCUUCACUUAUAUUUUUGUCCAGCAUCUCUCUUUGCCUUCUUGCCUGUUACUAGUGGCGGAAUUUGCGAAGUAGUGCUUACUCAAGAAGAUGCUUCCAAGUCCCUUACCUUAUGUCCGUACAAACAUUUGGUCCCUAAACCUUUCUUUCACACAAGUUUCUAUGGACACCACUAUUUCUUUUUCACACAAGCUUACUAUGUGUCUGUGGUUUGUCCUGAUGGUUCUGAAUAUAAGGAAGUUUCAGGUCAUUUUGCAAUCUUAAAUGCAUGUUCCUUGCGAUCUGACAAACUGAACACUUUCCCUGAAAAAUUACAUGAAGGUUUUGUGUCUAAUCUUACCUCCAGAAUCGUUCUUAUUGAUACUUUGAGUAAAGUAAAUCUUGCAAAUAUCAAAUUUGUGACCAAUACCUUAUCUGAGUUUAAUUUCUCUAAUCUCUCAGAACUAGAAAAUGCGGUUCAUGACUCUUUACCAGUGUAUCUUAGUCCCUAUGUGCAUUUUCCUACAAUCAUCAUACCCAUCAUUAUCUCACUUGUCCUACUGAUUCCUUUGUACUGCUGUGUUCGAAAAGCCCUGGAGUUGUAUAAUUACCUCAGUGGAAGAAUCAAGCACAAUAACAUGAGUCAGUAAUACACAUGACAAUGACAUGGGUAGGUACAUACAUAUAGGUUUGUCGUACGGCACGAGGACGCGCCGGGUAGGUGUGCCGAGCGAUGUUAGCACAUAGUGUAGGGAACCAUUGUAACUGUAGGUUCGAACCUUCUAGAAGCAUAAGUGGAAAUUUCCUAUUCUGACGCCCGCUGGGAGUAGUGUCUAAUUACUGUUUCUUCUCCUAGUUUACUGGUAAAUAUUAAGAUAGGAAUAACUAUUAUAUGCAAUAAUAAAAUAAUAAUUAAUAACUGUAAAUGUUAAACUAUAUAAAUAGGCAAUAGGUAGAUAGAAUAACUCAUAUGUGAAAUAUGAUCCUGUGAAACCUAUCACCUACGAUGUCACGUGAUCACAAGCGCCGCACCUUGAGGAACGCCGCAUUGCCCCGGGCAGUUGGGUGGAGAGCUCCGAUCUGGCCAGCUGGGUGUGCGCGGUGCGCUGUGUCCUGUGUGCGUGUGAACUCUGCCACGAACAAUUGCACUAAGACUACACCCUGAGUCUUUCCCACAAGUGUGUACCUUUGGUGUAUAAGGCAGGGAAAUAAGUGCAAGUGACAGUGUAUAAGUGACUUUAUUGUGGUGACAAGAACAGUGACAGACAGACUACAUAUCCUUGUGCUGAGAUUCAGUUUCUUGGGCUCAGUACUUAAGUGGUAUUGUAUGUAAACUGUAAAUAUAUAUCUACAAACUCAAAAA